ACAAUUUUUUCCUACAACCCCAGUCCCUUUUUACAGACCUAAAUCUUCUUUUUCUUCUUCGGCUGAAACCUCAUUCUUCUGCCAAAACCAUACUUGCCGUCACCACCCACUCCUCCGUUCGUCUUCCUCCUCCUUUAUUUCAUUUCAAUUCAUGGGCCUUUAUUUUUCACUAAAACCCUUCAUUUAAUUUCGUAACACUAAAAUCUUUCUUUUCAUUCAAAAAUCGAAUCCUCCCCUGUCCUUACCGACUCCGACAACCUCCAAUAGGUCCGACACCAUCGACCUCCCAACUCGGUCACGACAGCGACAAACACGCACCGACUACAAUCUCUACUUGCAGGUCAGCAUGCAGCCCACCUCCACACCGCCUUGUUCUCCCAGCCGCAUCCACAGUUUUGCACAACAAGGCACAACCGGACGCCCCUCCCCUUGCAUAGGAAUCAAUCGCCGCUGGCCACUUCCUUGACAACAUCUGCACUCGCCGUUUCAGUCACCAUUAGUAUCAAUUGAAAAUUCCAGAUUGAGAAGUGAAAGGGAAGAUCCGACCGUCGCAACGACACCCUGCGUUCGAUCUCCCUCAAAUCUACGUCUUAGAUUAACACUCUGAGAUUGCGGCUCCUGGUCAUGUUUUGAUACUUUUGCCCUUUUAAACCCUGAUUUCAGAAGAAAGUUGCUUGGUGUUCUGAAAACUGAUAAUGAUCUUCAACUGUCGUUUUUUCUAGAAUCACUGAUUUGGAGACAUGUUAGCAUUGUGCAUCUUGCAGAGUAGCACACCAGCAUGGACAUUACUCAGGGUCUUCGUGAAUUUUUGCUCGAUCAUAACAUCUACUAUGAAACCGAAAAAGAAGAUUAUACUCGAUCAUUUUUGUUGCUUAACAAAAUGAGUUCUGUAUUCGCAGGUGCAACGAAGUCUCCCGAAGUUGUUUUCUCAGUUAUGCGUGAUACAUGCAAUGAUGGAGAUCUCUCUGUUACCGAGGCUGUGGAAGCUGCAAAAGAUAUCCUUGCUAGAAAUGCAAUCAAUUUCUAUAAGAUUAAUUUGUCUAACAGUGCUGUUAGUUCACAUAAUAUUUUAUCUCUAAAUGUGAAACAUCACUUAAAGAGUGAUGUUUCAUUUGUUUGUAUAGUAUGGGUUGAUAAUUCCGGAUAACAAAGAUGUCGCGUGAGUUCUCUCUAUUGUGUUCGCGUCAAUGUAGAGAUUUUUUAUUUAUAUUUAAAUUAUGUUCUGAGGUGCUGUGUAAUUUUUGUUCCAGGCUGUUCCUAAAAAGAGUUCAAUGAUGUUGUUACGAAGAAUGGAGUUGGUUUAGCAUUUGCGGUUAUGGGAAUGCCUUCUUUUCUGGAUGGACCUGCACCUGGUUCUGGUUUAGGUUCAGUUGGUGAAACAAGAAUAUCGCCUGAUUUCUCUACUCUAAGGACAAUUCCUUGGACUUGGGUGGAGCUAUCCAUGUGAUGUAUGGAGUGUGGGUUGUAUAUUAGACGAGUUAUGCACUGUGAAGCUUUGUUUCAGAAUCACAAAAAUUUAGAGUAUCUUGCCAUGAUGAAGAGGUGCUUGGUCCAUUACCACAGCAGUUAUUGAAGAGAGUUGACCGACAUGCUACGAAGUAUGUCGGAAGGGGGAGACGGGACUGGCCAUAAGGUGCAACUUCGAGGGUAAAUAUUAAAGUUGUAAUGAAACUUUCUCGUCUACAGCAUGUUGAUCAUUCGGCUGGAGAUCUUAUACAUCUAUUGCAGGGGCUACUUAGGUUUGACCCCUUUGAAAGAGUUACUGCAAGGGAUGCUAUGAGACAUUCAUUCUUUAUGAGAGAUCACCUUAGGAGAUGAUUAGCCAUUUUUACAGGCCUAAUGUCAAGUUGAAUAUGUCAAAAGUGCAAAUAUGAGUGUAAAUAGGGAUAUUUUUGUAUGUUUUCACUUGAUUUGUUGUUGUAGUAGUCCACCGUGUGUAAAUUUACUUUGUACACUUGUGUGUAUCGUAGAUUAAUAAUUUUGUAAAUCAAUUGUUUAUUUUGAAAAA